UACGUAGGUGGCAAGCGUUGUCCGGAAUUAUUGGGCGUAAAGCGCGCGCAGGCGGUUCCUUAAGUCUGAUGUGAAAGCCCCCGGCUCAACCGGGGAGGGUCAUUGGAAACUGGGGAACUUGAGUGCAGAAGAGGAGAGCGGAAUUCCACGUGUAGCGGUGAAAUGCGUAGAGAUGUGGAGGAACACCAGUGGCGAAGGCGGCUCUCUGGUCUGUAACUGACGCUGAGGCGCGAAAGCGUGGGGAGCGAACAGGAUUAGAACCUACCGUAGUACCGUCCG
rnacentral:rRNA from 1 species